GACAACAGAUUGUACCACUUAACAAUAACGUAAUGAAAUAAUCACAAACUGCAACAGGUUCCUGUCUGCUCCACUGCUGUUGGGGUGCUGGUGGUGGCCCUUUGUGACACGGCACAUGGUGUCAUGGCCCUUUGUGAUGUGGGACGUGGUGGUGGCCAGAGACUCUUGUGACAUCAGGGAGCUCUGCCAGGGCUGAGGGUCUCCAAGGGGUGUGGAGCCCUGGGGUGCUCAUUCCCAGGAUAGCCGCUCUCUGAGGAGGAAGCAGCUCCCUGGCUCUGUCUACGCCAGACACUAACAGUGAUAUCCAUUGGAAGUACCGACAGUGACAGACAACGACAGCAAGGAGGACAAAACACACUCCACCUCCCGGUCCCACAGCUCCUUGCCCAGCUGGCUGGAAGCCACCAGCGAGCCGUGGUCAGGGGCAGUGGGCAGCUCAGUCCUGCCGCUGUCACAGACUGAGAAGGUAGAGAGGAUCUUGGCCAAAAUGGGCCAAAAGCUUUCCCGGAGGGAAGGUGUGAAAGACUCCCAAAAGAGGGAUGUUCCAGGAGCCGAAGAAAUGUCCCAGCGGGGAGACAGGAGCAGCCAAGAGCUGUACCAAGGCCAGAGUCCCACGGAGGCCGAGCCGGCAGCUGCUGCCCCAGCUGGAGAUGCUGAGGAGGAGGAGGAGCCAGGGUCGGCAGUGGCAGAGCUGGCACAGGAAGGUCGCCUGGAGGACUGGAUUUGGGACAGUUUCUCAGAAUCCAGCAGUGAGGAAGAGAGCCCGGUGGCUUCCCCGCACAGCCCCCCCGGCCCCUUGUCUGCCCUGCCGGGAGCCCCAGCCCCCAGGGAGGAGCCGGGCUGGGCAGUGGCAGAGCUGGCACAGGAUGACAGCCUGGAGGCCUGGGUUUGGGGAAGUCUCUGGGAAUCCGACAGUGAGGAAGAGCUGUGCGAGAAGACAUUGUCUCUUGUCCAAGAGCUGUCCCAGAAGGAGGACAAUGUGAGCUCCAGCUCUGGGGAGAAGCCUGUGGGCCCAUUUAAGGAGGGGGACACCCAGCCUUCUCCCCCAGAGGGGCCCAGCUCUGCCAGCCCCGUGGGUACAGAGGUGGCAGCAGAGGCAGCCCCUGCCCUGCCCAGCACCUCUCCUGCCCCCGGCAGUCCCACAGAAACCGAGCCGGCAGCUGCUGCCUCGUCCGGAGCUUCUGAGGAGGCAGCAGCGGGGUCAGGGCUGGCAGUGCAGGAGAGGAUGGACGACGAUGACGAUGAGGAAAUGAAAUAUUGGCAGCACUUGGAUGACCUGGAGCCUUUCCUGAUUAGAGAACCAGAGCUGUCCCAGGAAGCGUCUGACUCCAAACAGUGCACGGGGGAACAUCUGCCCCAAGGGGAAGCUGAGGAAGUCAUGAGCCGCCACCAACUCUCUGGGCAGAAAGAAUAUUUGGAGCAAGACCGGUCCCAGGGAGAAGUCAGCAGCUCCCAAGACCCCUCGGACUGGGAAGAAUGCAACGAGCAAGUGCUGUCCGGAGGAGAUGUCAUCAGCUGCAAAGAACUUUCGGACUGGGAAGAAGACCUUGGCCAAUAUGUGUCCAGAGGGAAUGGCAGCAGACCCUCAGGACUCUCCAGCUGGGACGACGACAGUGACACAGGGCUUGUGCAGGAGAACUGGCCCGAGCACGUCAUCUUGGCCAAGCCCUUGUGCCCAGAGGACGAUGAGUGGGACGAUGUGAGCCUCCUGGAGCUGCCCCCAGAAGACGGCAAAGGCCAGAAAUGGAAAGUUUUUGUGGCAGAGGGGCUCCCAGUGCCCGUCCCUCGGGAGGCCUGGGCUGAGUGCCCGGCACAGGAGCCGUGCAGCCAAGGGCCGCCGCCUGCCCCACACAGCCCCCCCAGUCCCUGGCCUGCCCGGCUGGGAGCCCAGGCCCUCCGCGGGCAGCCGGCUGCCCCCAGGAAACGUCCCUCCCGCUUCAGGCGGGCACUGCGGGCACUGCGGGGGCUGUUCCGCUGACCCUGCCUCAGGCCAUGCACUGAGGAGUGAAAGAGACAUGGAAAAAGGUUAAGAGGAUGAAGAGAAGGAAGGUGAAGAACAGGAAGAAGAUGAAGAUGGCCGCUCCUGCCAGUCCCGCUCCUCUGUGUCGGAGCAGCAGCUGUUCGGUUCGGCUCAAGGGGCUCAGAGAUUGCUGCUGCAGCUCCUCCAAGCCAGGGAAGAGAAAAGCCUUUGGAUGGGCCAGGCAAGCCAAGCAAAGCCCAACCAAGCAGAGCCACGAAGGCCUGGGCAGUGAGGCUUGGAAAAUGCCCACCCAAAGAGCCCAAAGCUCCCCCAUCCCUGCCCCGCACACACCUGGCCCCGGGCUGGAAGGUGCAAUAACCAUUUCUUGGGCACAAAGCAGAGGCUCCUGGAACAGACUCUCAGCACAAACCCCUCCAGGAACAUGGCAAAGAAGACAAAGACAAAGAAGAUGAAGACGAAGACACAGAAAAUGAGGACGAAGAGGAUACAGCAGAUGAAGAAGACGAAGACAGUGAAGAAGAUGAAGACAAAUAGGAUGAAGAACAUGAAGAAGACAGAAAAGACGAAGAAGACAAAGAUGAAGACUAAAAAGACAAGACAGAGAACGUUUAUUUAAGAAUAGAUAGAUGAAGUAUAGUAAUAAGAAUUUAGAGAUACUUAGAAGAAGAGUACUAAGAAUAGGAAUUUCAAAAUAUGUAGAAGAAGAAUAAUAGGAAGAAGAAUUUUAAAAUAUGUAGAAGAAGAAAAAGAAUAGGAAUAGGAAUAAGAAUUUUUACAUAUGUAGAAGAAGAAGAAUAGGAAUAGGAAUAAGAAUUUUAAAAUAUGUAGAAGAAGAAUAGGAAUAGGAAUAGGAAUAAGAAUAUAAAAAUACAUAGAAGUAGCAAACAAGAAGAAUAGUAAAGAGCAGGAAGAAGAAGAACCAUAAAAAGAAUAAGAAUAGAAAAGUGAAGAGAAAAUUGAAAGAAUAAGUAAAACUGACAAAUAAUUUAUUGUUAUUAGAUAUUGUAUAUUUAUAUUACAGUCUAUGCAAUAAAAACAUAAAUGUACCAUAUGCUGUAAUCACAAUGCAUCGUAAUGCCCCCACGCUGUUCCCGUUAUUGAAGAAUCUGUGUG
ensembl:lncRNA